AGUCGUCUAACUUGACUCUGAAUAUACCCAUCAGUUUGGGUCAAUGAAGCUGAGGAGAAAGCUCUCAUUCUCGAUUUCUCUCAGACCUCUUGCCCAUCAGCUGCCAACCUCCUCCUGUCUGUGCUAAACUUUCACCUAACGAUAAAAGGAAAAUACUUUUAAUUCAUUACGGUUCAUUAAAAUAAAAAUAAAAUGUAUUUUGCAUCAAAAUGGAAAAAAUACAACUCAUUUAUUAUUAGCAUAUAAAUGGCAUUUUUUAAUGUCACAGGGCCUCAAAAAUCACUUACAUUUGCAGUGAUCAGAGCACACAGAAUUAAUUUUUGAUAGCCUUUUGUGAUCUGCUGAAAAUUCUUAAUUUCUUUUUGUGUUUUAAACAGCAAACUGUAUCCACUGCUAUUCAUAGCAAAAUUUAGAUAAUGAAGCAAUUAAAAAUACAUAGAUUUGAAGAUCUUAUCUCAUUUUUCCUUUGGCCUAUUUCUGCUUCAUUAUUCAUGAUGGGGUAUGUUUAAUUCAGAGUUCAUAAUUGCAGAUAUAGCCAGUAUAAAUUGUGCCUCACACUCUUUACCCAUUUCAAUUUAUUUUAGCAAAUAGAUCUCUAUUUAGGGGGAAAAAGUGGUGGAGAGAGAGGAAGGUCUGAGGGAAAUGCAGAGAUCUGUGUUGUGUGUGUGUGUGUGUGUGUGUGUGUGUGUGUGUGUGUGCGCUUAUUUGAAUUGGAACGUCCAAAUAAGUCUCAAAAGUAUUCAUAACUACAUUUCCAGGGACUUCUAAGAGCCAGGGAAUGGGCUAAGUUUUGUAUAUGACGUUUCAUUUAAGACUUAAGGUGACCUUAGAAGGGCAGUGGUUAGUUAGCAGCCCUGUCUCAGAGGCUCAGAGAACUUGGAAAGAGGGCCAAUGUCACCUGUUAGAGAUGGCAGAGACUUAUGACUGGAACGUGGCUGUCUGCCUCCAGAACCUGUGCGGAGUCAUUCAUUCUGUGUGCCCCAGGAUUCCGCAUGUCAGUGCCUCAAGGAGGUUUGUCAGGCGUUGUUGAAAUCAUACCCCUGUGACAGUCCCACCUAACGGCAUUCCUGCUUCAUAAAGGAGCUGCUCCAAGGAGCCUGGGAUGUAACUGGUUUCUGUGGACCCUGCACAGAUUUUAAGAACAUGCAUCUGAGAGAAGUAACAGAAUAAGAACAUAGAGAUUCCAGCGGUAAGAUCGAUGGUCUAUGCACCGGUAGAGAACAGCAAAGGAAAUUAAACAGGGAAAGGGGCAAGAGAAGGAAAGAAAUGAAGCAAAGUAAAUGGCCUUUAAAGAGUCCAGCUGCAGACCGGCCAAAUCCGGAUGCAUUUAUUCAAUAUUAUACUAUGGAGGUGUCAAAAUGAUGGACGAGAAUUUCAGCUUCCUGAUAUGUGAAAAAUAUUUAAAGUAAAUUAUUUCACAAGAUAGCAGGCUUAUAAAAACAAUACAUAUAGCCUCCCUCUAUUUUAACAAUAACAGCAGCAGCAAAAAGAAUAAUAAUAAUGUUUGAGAAGCCAGAGUAAGUAGAUCAGCUUGGUUCAAUAAAGAUGUAAUACAAACCACACAUCAUUUAAAAUUUUCUGAUAAUCAUAUCUUAAAAUGAAAUUAAUUUUAAUAACAUAUUUUACUUAUCACUAAAUAUUCAAAGAUUAAUUAUCCUCUCAAUUAUCUUUCAACUAUCUGAGAAUAAUGAAUUGAUCCACUGUUCUGUACUGGUGCUUUGGAAUCUGGUGUCUCUUAUAGCGAAUCAGAGGACUCUGCAAAUCUGUGGUGGCACCGUGCCCACCCCACACAUAACAGGCCUGGGAGAAUAUGCAUGAGUGUUCUGUCCCUGGACCAGUCUCAGGCUACCGUGAUUAUGCUACAUUUCAUCCUUUCAUCAGCAUAUUUGACAUUUUACGAUGUUUUAAGAAUAGCUUAUCAGUUUUGCAUAAGGCUAUUUCCUAAUGGGAGACUGAGUUCUCUGGAGCAGAUCAAUCACUUGUCUGGGUCACACAGCUGGGAGUUAGAGUAAUGAAAACCUGACUUAGGCAUGUCUUACCUCGUCCUCGUGACGAAGCUGGCAUGUGCGCCUUCUUGCAUCUCUCUCUCUCUCUCUUCUCUCUCUCUCUUUCUCUCUCUCCCUCAGUGUGUGUAUGUACUUGCCUGUGUAUGUGCAUGUGCAUGCAUGUGUGUGUGUGAGUUUGUGUAUGUAUAUAUGUGAGUGUGUAUAUGGGCUUGCUAGUGUGUGUAAGUCUUUGCCCCUGUGAAUGUGAGUCUAUGUAUGUGCUUUCCUCUGUGUGUGUGUGUGUGUGUGUGUGUGAAUCUGCUAUGUGUGUGUGUGUGUGUAUGUGUGUGAGUCUGCUGUGUGUGUGUGUAUGUGCUUGCCUGUGUAUGUGUAUGUGACUGUGUGCAUAUGCUUGCCUGUUUGUGUGUGUGUGUAUGUGUGUGUGAGUGUGUGUAGUGUAUGUGCUUGCCUGUGUUUGUAUGAGUUUGUGUGUGAGUGUAUGUGCUUGCUUGUGUGUAUGUAUGUGCGUCCCUGUGUGUGUGUAUGUAAAUGUGCUUUGUGUGUGUUGUGUGAGUGCUUGCCUGUGUGUGUUGUGUGAGUGUGCAUAUGGGCUUGCCUAGGUGUGUGAGUGUGUAUAUGUGCUUGCCUGUUUGUGUGUGUAUGUUUCCCCGAUGUGUUUGAGAGUGUGUAUAUGUGCUUGUCUGUGUGUGUGUGUGUGACAGUGUGUAUAUGUGCUUGUCUGUGUGUGUGACUAUGUGUAUAUACUUGCCUAUGUGUUUGUGGGUGUGUGUAUGUGCUUGCUUGUGUGUAUGUAUGUGCGUCCCUGUGUGUGUGUAUGUAAAUGUGCUUUGUGUGUGUUGUGUGAGUGCUUGCCUGUGUGUGUUGUGUGAGUGUGCAUAUGGGCUUGCCUGUGUGUGUUUGAGAGUGUGUAUAUGUGCUUGCCUGUUUGUGUGUGUAUGUUUCCCCGAUGUGUUUGUGAGUGUGUAUAUGUGCUUGCCUGUUUGUGUGUAUAUGUUUCCCCGAUGUGUUUGAGAGUGUGUAUAUGUGCUUGUCUGUGUGUGUGACUAUGUGUAUAUACUUGCCUAUGUGUUUGUGGGUGUGUGUAUGUGCUUACCUGUGUGUGUGCCUGUCUUGGUGUUGCCUGUCUCCCUCUACCACUCCUCACCUUAGUUUUCUUUUAAAGAUUUAUUUAUUUAUUUAUUUCCUAUAUGUAGCUGUCUUCAGACACAGAAGAGGGCAUCAGAUCCCAUUACAGAUGGGAGCCACCAGGUGGUUGCUGGGAAUUGAACUCAGGACCUCUGGAAGAACAGUCAGUGCUCUUAGCCACUGAGCCAUCUCUCCAGCCCCUCACCUUAGUUUUUGAGGCAGGGUUUCUCAAACCCAAGACAUAACUUUCCCUUCUCCAGCUCUGGGAUUACAGAUGUGUGUUUUACAGAGAGGCUGGGGAUUGAACUCUGGUCCCGAAUGUUUUCUCAUCAAGCCCUUCACUGACUGAGCCACAUCCCCAGCGCCUGGAGAAUUAUAUUUUAAUUUGGUUUGUUGUCAGUGAGUGUUCCCAGUUGCUUAAGUCUGAUUUUCAAACUGUUUUUAAAGUUACACUCAGAGACAAUUGUGAAGUGCACAGCGGAAGAGUCUUUCCAAAUGGCCUUUCUUGAGUAGUGAAUUUCCUUGCCAUACAUAACACGGUCUGUGAGACCGAAGACAGCCUGGCUUAUAAACCUUCCUUAUGCCACAUAGAUGCAGAAGCAAGGAUCGGUGGCUCUGCAGCACACUACCCUUGCAAAUGGCUGCUCCAUAGUUCGUUGUGGCUUGCACUUGGAGGCUUGCAGACAGUACAGUGUCCAAUAAAUAGGUGGGACUUUCUCUGCUAGUUGUCCACACUGCCAGCAGGCAGUGCCAUCUGGAUUGCAUCCGGUGACCUCCUGCCUUCUCCCUAAGUAAAUCUCUAUCGCCUGACUAGGCAUGUAUGGCACAGUUACAAAGUCCCAGUCCUGGUUGGCAGCUGACUCACUUGGGAAAUUUACCAGAAACCCCCAGAGUCCCAGUUUCCUCUCCCCUAAUUAUUGGAAUGAGGAUAAACAAGACUGGGCUGAGAAUCGGGUGAGUGUUUAGCAGAAAUCCUGUAUGGUGGUAAAUUCUUAAUAAAGGUUUGUGAGGGUCAGCACAAACAGCAGGGCUAUCGGCAGACAGCUGCCCAUACUUUGUUUUAUUUCAUCUCUCUCCUCCUUUUUCCUAGAGGAGAAUGACAGGGAUCGGCUUUCUAAGAAACCGUGUGCUAUUCAGUGACUUCUUGUCAAGGUGGCGGUGCUCCACAUUCUACUCUUGGUAAGUAUCAAAUGGGUCCAUGUCAGACAAGUCAUGGCUUUUAAUCUCCCUUUACUUGCCAUGUCACCUGUCAGUGACCUUGACUGUCGCCGGCUGCCUCCUGUUCUGCAGUUUCCUGAUAAGUGUGUUUACAGCUUUUGAAGUCGUGUCUGCAGAAAGCCGCAUCUGGUUCGCUACGGCCUUAACAGACACAAUGGAAUACAAAGCCUAAUUCAGCAGAGCACACAGUCCAGGUCCAUUUCCCAGAAGAGCGGGAUGGAGGAAGUCAGUGGAGAUGGUUCUCCUACAAGUGAAGGUGCUGGGAAGAGGAAGUACCUGCUGUGACCGUGCUCGCAAGCAGUGAUCCGCCGCGGCAGAGACCAGCAUAAGAGCUACUGAGCAGUAAGCAGUUCGACCCGUUAAGCUCAUUUUGUGCGGCAGAAAAUGUGCCAAUUGCAAAGCUCAGACAGGAUAGUAACACGUUUUGAUGAAGGUAAGAACGUGCUACGUGUUAGUAGCAAACACCUGUGAUACCAGCACUCAGUAGACUGAGGCGGGAGGUUUGUGAACCACAGAUCAACCAAGCUACACCGUGAGUUUCAGAUUGGCCAGAGCUUUACAGAAUGAUCCAGACAAAUGAGAAACAACACAACGUCUGUAAAUUUGAUUUAUUUAUGUCUUCUGGUGACAUAUAUCGUCAUGGUUUUCCUGGAUUAUUGCCUGGGUGAUGUUGUAGGCUUCUCCUGGCAUCCUUCAGAAGUCUAGGCAUCAGGAUAGCCCAGGGCCAAGGUGCUGCCUGAUUUGCUGCCCAGUCACAAGACUACCCUGACUUUGGGCAACAAUAGGAUGUCUGAGAUGAGGCUCAGUGAUAGUCCAGCAUUUAUGGUGCUUCAGAAACCUUGAACCAGACCAAUGGCUCAUUGCAAUACUUACAUGCAUGUAAAGCUGUUUGGGCAAAAUAAUAUACUGUGUGACACACAGCCGUUGGCAAUGACAUUUUAAUAAAUGAAUGUGCAGUGAGAGAUGGGAAAGAUGGCAGUAUGGUGGAGCAGGGAGAGAGAGAGAGAGAGAGAGAGAGAGAGAGAGAGAGAGAGAGAGAGAGACAGCAGCAGUGAUAGGUGUGGGAGCACAAAGGGAUGUAGCAAAGGACCAUGUCAUUGGUCAUUGCCAAGCAGGGCUGGCAGUGUUCUGUACAGAAGCUUGGAGCUUGGGUGGGCUCUGCUCCUGAGUGCACUGUCUAACUGCAGCAAAAUCACCCUGACUCUCAACAAGAAGACCCUGGAGAUGAAGAACAGUUCAUUUUCUGGUUUAAGCAUUCUCGAAAGACUUCCGAGGUCCAUGCUUCGGCUGGCAGCUAUGUUGGUGUCUAUGGUCCAUGCUGAUGUUUGUGGUUGGUGCUGCCACCAGAGGCCAUGUUGAUGUCUGUGAUCCGUGUUGCCUCUGGAGGGCAUGUUGGUGUCCAUGAUCUGUGCUGCUGAAGGAACCCUUACGUUGAUGUCAUGGUCUGUGCUGCCACAUGAGACCAUGUUGAGGUCCACGAUCAGAGCUGCCCCAGGAGACCAUGUUGAUGUCUGUGGUCCAUGCUGCCUACAGCUGCUAUGAGUAGGGAUGCUUCUUUUGCAGUGGUAUUGAUGACUACAGACUCAAAAUGAGAAUGAGAGACAUUGACAGUUUCUGUGACAGGCUUCCUCUUCCCACCCUACCAUGCAAAGGAAACAGUCCAGAGAGGAAGCUAUUGAAGAGAGUCCUUAAAAAUUGUGAUUAAAAUGCUAAAGGUCUUUGCAGUUCAUGUCUUCUGGUGCAAGUGGAGUGGGGAAGAACUCUCUUUUCUUUACGGGGCUGGCCACUGUAAGGGGUUGACCAUGUUCCAAAAAGUAUAUGAACAACACAAA